GUCCCAACGGAGAUGGAGCUGGAGCCUUCAACUUCUUUUUGCUUGGAGCGGGAGCUGGAACCAGAGCAGGAGGAGCGGCGAGAGGAGCUGGUGGUGGAACAGCUGGAGGAGGAGUUGCUGGUGGUGGAGUAGCUGGAGGAGGAGUUGCUGGAGGAGGAGAAGCAGGAGGUGGAGUGGCAGGAGGAGGAGAGGCUGGUGGUGGAGUAGCUGGAGGAGGAGAGACUGGUGGUGGAGUGGCGGGAGGAGGAGUGGCAGGAGGUGGAGUUGCAGGAGGAGGAGUAGCCGGUGGUGGAGUUGAAACUGGAGGAGGAGUAGCCGGAGGUGGAGAUUGAGUUACUGGAGGAGGAGCUGAAACCGGAGGAGGAGUAGUGGUUGGAGUUGGCGGAGCAGGAGUAGUUGUCGGAGAUUGGCCAGAAACACCAGCAAUAACAAUGCAGAUCAAAGAAACAAAGAUUUUAACCUUUUGAUGCCUCAUUGUAGUUGAACUCUCUCUUUCUCUCUCAAACUGC
rnacentral:lncRNA from 1 species